rnacentral:rRNA from 1 species
AACGAACGCUGGCGGCAUGCCUAACACAUGCAAGUCGAACGAGACCUUCGGGUCUAGUGGCGCACGGGUGCGUAACGCGUGGGAACCUGCCCUUAUGUUCGGAAUAACUCCCCGAAUGGGGUGCUAAUACCGGAUAAUGUCUUCGGACCGAGGAUUUUUCGCCCUUGGAUGGGCCCGCGUUGGAUUAGCUGGUUGGUAUGGUAAAAGCCUACUAAGGCGUGGAUCCAUAGCUGGUCUCAGAGGAUGGUUAGCGACACUGAGGCUGAGACACGGCCGAGACUCCUACGCGAGGCAGGAGUGCGGAAUGUUGGAACGUGGGGGGAAGGAUGAACCAGCAAGGCUGGGAAAACGAUGAAGGCCGGAGAGAAGAAAAGCGUAUUUACCCGGGAUGAUAAUGACGGUACCGGGAGAAUAAGCUCCGGCUAACUCCGUG